rnacentral:lncRNA from 1 species
GUCUUUUAUUUUCUGUUCCUCUAAGGGAAGAGAGACCAAAGAGAAUUCUACUUUGACCCUGGCUUAAGAGUGGAACAUAGAUGUCUAUAAAACUAUGUGGUACCAGCAUGUUAUGAAGAAUAAGCAAGAAGAAAGAGAAGGAGAAGAAGCAGGAGGAGGAGGAGAGAAGGAAAGGGAGGAGGAGGAGGAGAAAAAGAUGGUGGUAGAGGAGGAGGAGAAGAAGAAGAAGGAGGAGAAGGAGAAGGAGAAGAAGGAGCAGGAGGAGGAGGAAGAAGAAGAAGAGGAGAAGGGAACUCACAUGCUACCUGUGUGAGUCACAUGUCAGUGCAAUUUCUGGAGGUCAAUUGUAGCCCUGAAGUCUCAGAACAAUGGCAAAAAGAAAUACGGAGGGCAUGAUACAUUUGGCAGACUAAAAUUCUCAAGAUUCCUAUGCAGUCGAGUUUUACCAUAUGACUGAGUUCCAACAAAGAAAUAUGAGUAGAAGAUUGUAUAAGCAUCAUUUUUGACCCAGGGCUUUAAGAAGCAGUGUAGAUUCUUCAAGGAAAGGAACCAUCUCUUCUUUCUCCUUUGGUACUAUCAAGCAACAUCUUCGACAUCUACUUCAUCUACUGGAAGAAACCUCCCACGUUCUCCAGAGUUGUCAACCAUGUACCAGGAUAUGAUGCAAAUAUAAAGGGAUCAUUGCUUUUAUCUUGUCCUCUUACAG